rnacentral:misc_RNA from 1 species
UGCUAUAUUGUUGCUUCCCAGGAUAAUCAAUUUCACAAGUCUCAAAGUCCCUAAUUGAUUAGGCAGAGUUCCAGACAGUUUGUUUCCCCUCAACUCGAACCGUUGAAGUUACCAAUAUUGGGAGGCAGUGAACCACCAAUUUGAUUAUAUGCUUCGAUAUGUAGAUCAAAGAUUGAAGUUGUAUCCUUUGCCAUAUUAUGUACAAAAAGGAAGCUGUUGCAGCUUUUCUAAAUUUUGUAUUGAGUUUGGUCCUUUGAUUGGAA